UUUGAAUCCCUAAAGCUCUCUAAGUUCUCUGAAAACCCUAGUCGUCUCUGCCCUUUUCACCAGCGUUCAUGGCCGUCCUAGACCUGAAACUCCCUUAUUCGUUCACUCCUCACCUCUCCUUGCCUUUGGGUUCGAGGAUCGAAUCCUUAUUUCAAAGAUGACUGGACCAGAGGCCUCCAAUGGGGUCUUUUGCAGCUGUGUCCGUCCUUUCUCCGGCAAGUCUUAAGGCCUUUGAGUCCUUUGCCGACUCCGAUGAGUCCGUUCAGGCUUUUCUCGCCAUUUCGAGACCUUUCUCUGAAAACCUUAUUGUUCGAGGUUCCUUUUUCAUUUUUCUCUAUUUUUAUAUUACGAUCUUCUCUGAGCUCUAGUUAUUUUCAAAAGUUUGUAAGUAUCUCUCAUCCUUUUUUCGCAUAUUUGUGUUUUCAAAACUGUUCGUCUUUUAAACCUAGGGUUUUUUAUUACUUAUCUGAUUUCUUUGAUUUUGUUGUUUAUUUUUGCUACUGUGUUUUCUUCUCCAUGAUUUUGAAUAUUUUCUACUACGGCUCUAAAGUGUUUUGCUUUACUGUGUAUUUCUAGGGUUUUCAGUUCAUGUGUUUAUACUUUCUUUAUGAUGUUCUGCUCUUGUUCAUCUUUGUCUAUGGUGUUCCUUGUGUUUCGAUUUGUAGUGGAAACCCUAAUUUCUAAGGGGAUUUUCCAUUUUUCUUUCUCUGUGAAACCCUAGCCGCCUAUGGUUGCUUUCUUAUGCUUUGCUACAUGUGGUUUCCAGUCUUUGCCUGUUCAAACCUAUGCAUCUUUUAUAUUAUUUCCCCUUUCUCUGAAACCCUAAUUGAUUUUUGUACCACUGUUUGAUUCUCUAAUUGCUCCCUGUUUUCUGAGUAAGUCCGAAUGCAAGUAGUAUCUUGACUCCUUGAUUUCCUAGGUGAUUACUUGACUUAUAUGUUUACCCGUGUGAUUUUCAAAUUCUUUACAUGUAUUUACCCUAUGUUAU
rnacentral:lncRNA from 1 species